GACGAACCGUGCGAACGUUAAUCGGAUUCAUUGGGCUUAAAGGGCGCGUAGGCGGCGGCGUAAGUUCGUGGUGAAAUCCCAUCGGCUCAACCGUGGAAUCGCUUCGAAUACUGCGUCGCUCGAGGGAGAUAGGGGACCGCAGAACUGCCGGUGGAGCGGUGAAAUGUGUUGAUAUCGGCGGGAAUGCCAGUGCCGAAAGGGGCGGUCUGGACCUCUUCUGACGCUGAGGCGCGAAAGCUAGGGGAGCGAACGGG
rnacentral:rRNA from 1 species